UACGUAGGGCGCAAGCGUUAAUCGGAAUUACUGGGCGUAAAGCGUGCGCAGGCGGUUUUGUAAGUUUGUCGUGAAAUCCCCGGGCUCAACCUGGGAAUUGCGAUGAAGACUGCAAGGCUAGAAUCUGGCAGAGGGGGGUAGAAUUCCACGUGUAGCAGUGAAAUGCGUAGAGAUGUGGAGGAACACCGAUGGCGAAGGCAGCCCCCUGGG
rnacentral:rRNA from 1 species